GGGUCCGUAGCUCAGCUUGGACAGAGCGACACCGUCCUAAGGUGAGGGUCGCGGGUUCAAAUCCCGCCGGGCCCG
rnacentral:tRNA from 1 species